GACGAACGCUGGCGGCGUGCUUAACACAUGCAAGUCGAACGGAAAGGCCCCUUUGGGGGUACUCGAGUGGCGAACGGGUGAGUAACACGUGAGUAACCUGCCCUUGACUUCGGGAUAACUUCAGGAAACUGGGGCUAAUACCGGAUCGGAAUCCUUGCUGCAUGGUGGGGGUUGGAAAGCUUCGGCGGUUUUGGAUGGACUCGCGGCUUAUCAGCUUGUUGGUGGGGUAGUGGCUUACCAAGGCUUUGACGGGUAGCCGGCCUGAGAGGGCGACCGGCCACAUUGGGACUGAGAUACGGCCCAGACUCCUACGGGAGGCAGCAGUGGGGAAUAUUGCACAAGGGGCGGAAGCCUGAUGCAGCAACGCCGCGUGCGGGAAGACGGCCUUCGGGUUGUAAACCGCUUUCAGCAGGGGCGAAGCUUGUGGUGACGGUACCUGCAGAAGAAGCACCGGCUAACUACGUG
rnacentral:rRNA from 1 species